CCGCUCGCAGCCACAGGAACGGACAGCGAUACGCACGAGGCAAGCAAGGACCAUCUCCACCCGGGAAGGAAAAUCAAAGAACUGCGGCACUUGUUCACUGUAAGGAUACCACACUUGACCUUUGAGCUUUCAGCCGGCAGACAGAUUGAAUCUCGGGCAGUGGAGAGGAUCAUUAUGAUCGCAUCCUCCUUUUAAGAUCAAAUCUCCAUGGUAGCAGUGAUGGUUUUGGGAGAGAGAACCAUCCUGGUUAUCUCAGGUUCCCGUUCUCUGCCUUGAUGCUCACUUCAGACCAACCCCUCAGGACCAAGAGCGGCAAAGAGAAACCAGCAAGAAACGAUAUGACUGCGACAAGGUGUGUGGCUGAGGUUGGAUCCUCUCAGAAAUUGGGUGUUAUCUUUUUCAUGAAGCAAAGUUGAUGGACAAAGAGUUUUUCCUAUUUUUGCAUAGACAUUCAUGCACCACAUCUGGGAACCAAGUGGGAAGGGGACAUAAAAACUUUGAGUGGGUAUUUCCCUUCAUUCCCUAAGAGGCCUGUUGUAAAGCCUGGAUAUUUAGCUGUGGGAGAGCUCGAGUACACACUCACUUAUGGGAAGAUGGAGGCAGGAGCGGAGACUAGUCCACAACAGCAGCCGAGGAGGAAACCUGUGCUGCACUGCUUGGAGGACCAGAAAAGGGUCUCUCAACAGAAACCCACAUAUGCAUGCCAGAUGGAGGUUUGAGCAGAGUAAGAGGGUGCUGUGAGAUGAAUCUUAAAAUUUGUCUCAUGCUGUUGGUCUGCCAGUUUCCUUCAGCUGCCCCAACCUCAAUAUGUUUAAAUAAAUAUUUUGAUAUAUUUUGUUAUUUUUAUUUACUAUGUGCAGGCUGUUU